AUAUUAUUAAGCGGAGGAAAAGAAACUAACUAGGAUUCCCUUAGUAGCGGCGAGUGAACAGGGAAGAGCCCAAUGUCCAAUCGCUAGCUUGCUAGCGACGUGUGGCUUUGGUGGGAUACCAGUAGUGGACCCGGGAUAAGUUUUCUGGAAAGAAGCGUCAUGGAGGGUGAUAAUCCCGUAAGUGCCUGGAGCUCCACUACGUACGGUUCCUGCUAUAACGAGUCGCGUUCCUUGGGAAAGGAGCGUAAACGGGUGGUAAAUUCCAUCCAAGGCUAAAUAUAGACACGAGACCGAUAGCGCACAAGUA
rnacentral:rRNA from 1 species